rnacentral:vault_RNA from 1 species
GGGCCAGCUUUAGCUCAGCGGUUCCUUCGGCUUCAUUUCGUAAACCAGACUUUCGACUGUGUUUGAUCGUCAGGGGUUCGAACCCCGCGUCGAUCCGAGACCCGCGGGCGCUUCCUGGCCCUUUU